GAUGAACGCUGGCGGCGUGCCUAAUACAUGCAAGUCGAGCGAACAGACGAGGAGCUUGCUCCUCUGACGUUAGCGGCGGACGGGUGAGUAACACGUGGAUAACCUACCUAUAAGACUGGGAUAACUUCGGGAAACCGGAGCUAAUACCGGAUAAUAUAUGGAACCGCAUGGUUCAAUAGUGAAAGACGGUUUUGCGGUCACUUAUAGAUGGAUCCGCGCCGCAGUAGCUAGUUGGUAAGGUAACGGCUUACCAAGGCAACGAUGCGUAGCCGACCUGAGAGGGUGAUAGGCCACCCUGGAACGGAGACACGGUCCAGACUACUACGGGAGGCAGCAGUCGGGAAUCUUCCGCAAUGGGCGAAAGCUUGACGGAGCAACGCCGCGUGAGUGAUGAAGGUCUUCGGAUCGUAAAACUCUGUUAUGAGGGAAGAACAAAUGUGUAAGUAAAUAUGCACGUCUUGACGGUACCUAAUCAGAAAGCCACGGCUAACUACGUG
rnacentral:rRNA from 1 species